rnacentral:lncRNA from 1 species
GGGAUUCGAGGGAGGAUUUCUUUUAUUUCUUUUUGAUUUUCUGUAAUUCGGGCUAUAAAGAAGCCAAUACAAACGUUGUAAAAAAACACAGUUUAAGAAAUAAAAAAAAUUCAAAGAAAGAGAAUUAAAAAGGUGAUUUUGAUCAUUCUUUUGGCUUAUUCGGUUUUGUUUUUCCUUUUUCUUUUUUCUUUUUGGUUUUCUUUUCUGUGUUAG